ACUCAAAUGAAUUGACGGGGGCCCGCACAAGCAGUGGAGUAUGUGGUUUAAUUCGAAGCAACGCGAAGAACCUUACCAGGACUUGACAUCCCUUGCAUAACCCUUAAUCGGGAAAACCCUUCGGGGCAAGGAGACAGGUGGUGCAUGGUUGUCGUCAGCUCGUGUCGUGAGAUGUUGGGUUAAGUCCCGCAACGAGCGCAACCCUUGUUGUUAGUUGCCAGCAGUAAGAUGGGCACUCUAACGAGACUGCCGUUGAUAAAACGGAGGAAGGUGGGGACGACGUCAAAUCAUCAUGCCCCUUAUGUUCUGGGCAACACACGUACUACAAUGGCUGUUAACAGAGGGAAGCAAAAUGGUAACAUGGAGCAAACCCCUAAAAGCAGUCUCAGUUCGGAUUGUGGGCUGAAACUCGCCCACAUGAAGUUGGAAUUGCUAGUAAUCGCGGAUCAGCAUGCCGCGGUGAAUACGUUCCCGGGCCUUGUACACACCGCCCGU
rnacentral:rRNA from 1 species